rnacentral:rRNA from 1 species
GUGAGGAAUAUUGUGCAAUGGAGGCAACUCUGACGCAGCCAUGCCGCGUGCAGGAAGAAGGCGCUACGCGUUGUAAACUGCUUUUAACCGGGAAGAAACCCCAGGACGUGUCCUGGGUUGACGGUACCGGAGGAAUAAGCACCGGCUAACUUCGUGCCAGCAGCCGCGGUAAUACGAAGGGUGCAAGCGUUAUCCGGAUUCAUUGGGUUUAAAGGGUGCGUAGGCGGAGCGUUAAGUCAGUGGUGAAAUCCUGCAGCUUAACUGUAGACUUGCCAUUGAUACUGGCGCUCUUGAGUGCGCUUGAAGUGGGCGGAAUGUGCCGUGUAGCGGUGAAAUGCUUAGAUAUGGCACAGAACACCAAUUGCGAAGGCAGCUCACUAAGGCGAUACUGACGCUGAGGCACGAAAGCGUGGGGAUCGAACAGGAUUAGAAACCCCGGUAGUCC